AUACAAUGGAGAGUUUGAUCCUGGCUCAGGAUGAACGCUAGCGGGAGGCCUAACACAUGCAAGCCGAGCGGUAUAGAUUCUU
rnacentral:rRNA from 1 species